GGAGGGUGCAAGCGUUGUUCGGAAUUACUGGGCGUAAAGGGCGCGUAGGCGGCCCGAUAAGUCAGGUGUGAAAGUCCACGGCUCAACCGUGGAAGUGCAUUUGAAACUGUCAGGCUUGAGUAUCGGAGGGGAAAGUGGAAUUCCCGGUGUAGAGGUGAAAUUCGUAGAGAUCGGGAGGAACACCGGUGGCGAAGGCGACUUUCUGGACGAAUACUGACGCUGAGGCGCGAAAGCGUGGGGAGCAAACAGGAUUAGAUACCCUGGUAGUCCACGCCGUAAACGAUGUGAACUAGGGAUAGGGGGUGUUGAUCCCCUCCCUGUCCCGCAGCUAACGCAUUAAGUUCACCGCCUGGGGAGUACGGUCGCAAGAUUA
rnacentral:rRNA from 1 species